UGGGGAAUAUUGGACAAUGGGCGAAAGCCUGAUCCAGCCAUGCCGCGUGUGUGAAGAAGGUCUUCGGAUUGUAACGCACUUUAAGUUGGGAGGAAGGGCAGUAAGCGAAUACCUUGCUGUUUUGACGUUACCGACAGAAUAAGCACCGGCUAACUCUGUGCCAGCAGCCGCGGUAAUACAGAGGGUGCAAGCGUUAAUCGGAAUUACUGGGCGUAAAGCGCGCGUAGGUGGUUCGUUAAGUUGAAUGUGAAAGCCCCGGGCUCAACCUGAGAACUGGAUCCAAAACGGGCGGGGUAGGGGAGGGCAGAGGGUGGUGGAAAUUCCUGUGUAGCGGUGAAAUGCGUAGAUAUAGGAAGGAACACCAGAGGCGAAGGCGACCACCUGGGCUCAUACUGACACUGAGGUGAGAAAGCGUGGGGAGCAAACAGG
rnacentral:rRNA from 1 species